rnacentral:rRNA from 1 species
AGCUCCAAUAGCGUAUAUUAAAGUUGUUGCGGUUAAAAAGCUCGUAGUUGGAUUUCUGCUGAAGCAGUAUAUUAAAGUUGUUGCGGUUAAAAGCUCGUAGUUGGAUUUCUGCUGAAGCAAACCGGUCCGCCCUCUGGGUGAGCAUCUGGUUUUGUUUUGGCAUAUGCUUAGACUUUGCAGCUGCACUUGACUGUGUGGUGUGAAGGCUGAGCCUUUUACUUGAGGAAAUCAGAGUGUUUCAAGCAGGCCAUUGCCUUGAAUACACUAGCAUGGAAUAAUAUGAUAUGACUGUGGUUUUAUUUGUUGGCUUUUAGAAUUAGAGUAAUGGUUAAUAGGGAUAGUUGGGGGCAUUCAUAUUUAACUGUCAGAGGUGAAAUUC